rnacentral:rRNA from 1 species
AUUUAAAAUUUUUUAAGUAGUCAAAAUUUCUAUUAAAACUUUAAUAAAAUGGCGGCAUUUUAUCUUAUUAGAGGAACUUGUUUUUUAAUCGAUAACCCUCGUUAAAUUUCACUUAAAUUUAAAUUUUAUAUACCUCCAUCUUAAAAAUUAAUUUAAAAAUUUUUUUUAUAAAAAAUAUUAUAAAAAGUUAGGUCAUGGUGUAGAUUAUAUUUAUGAUAAAAUUAGUUACAUUAAAUAAAAUUUAAAGAAAAAAAAUAAAAUUUUUUUUAUAAAAAGAAUUUAAUAGUAACUAAUAAAAUAUUAUUUAUUAUUGAAUUAGCAAAUAUAUGUGC